rnacentral:rRNA from 1 species
CCUACGGGCGGCUGCAGUGAGGAAUAUUGGUCAAUGGCCGGAAGGCUGAACCAGCCAAGCCGCGUGAAGGACGAAGGUGCUAAGCAUUGUAAACUUCUUUUGUCAAGGGACAAAAUCAGGCUCGAGAGCCUGACCGAGGGUCCUUGAAGAAAAAGCAUCGGCUAACUCGGUGCCAGCAGCCGCGGUAAUACGGAGGAUGCGAGCGUUAUCCGGAUUUAUUGGGUUUAAAGGGUGCGCAGGCGGACAGUUAGGUCGGCGGGAAAAGCCCGGGGCUCAACACCGGGGAGCCGUUGAAACUGGCUGUCUUGAGAUGUCGAGAGGUAUGCGGAAUGCGCAGUGUAGCGGUGAAAUGCUUAGAUAUUGCGAAGAACUCCGAUUGCGAAGGCAGCAUACCGGCGGCGAACUGACGCUGAGGCACGAAAGCGUGGGUAUCGAACAGGAUUAGAUACCCGAGUAGUC